rnacentral:lncRNA from 1 species
GAGGAUCUAAGUCUGGUUCAAAUCAAGAAGCAGAUGUUACUCUAGUUGCAAUCCAAGGUACAACUAUUGUAGAACAAACUAGAUUGAUUGAACAUCUUGAUGCAGAAUUCGCUAGCAUUGAUAAGCUAAUGAAAUUUCAAAGCAAAUAGAUCAAACUUCUGAGUAACCGAAAGAGUUGAGUUAUUCAUUUUAAAGCAAGUAUCCUUUCUCAUGGAACAUAACCUUCUUUCAAUUUUUUGUCCAAAAAAGAGGGAGAUUUGAGCUACAAUAUUGAACUUUGGUUGUAUAAGAUUCGAG